rnacentral:rRNA from 1 species
GACGAACGCUGGCGGCGUGCUUAACACAUGCAAGUCGAACGGAAAGGCCCUGCUUGCAGGGUACUCGAGUGGCGAACGGGUGAGUAACACGUGGGUGAUCUGCCCUGCACUUCGGGAUAAGCCUGGGAAACUGGGUCUAAUACCGGACAGGAGCCAUUUUUAGUGUGAUGGUUGGAAAGUUUUUUCGGUGUAGGAUGAGCUCGCGGCCUAUCAGCUUGUUGGUGGGGUAAUGGCCUACCAAGGCGGCGACGGGUAGCCGGCCUGAGAGGGUGGACGGCCACAUUGGGACUGAGAGACGGCCCAGACUCCGACGGGAGGCAGCAGUGGGGAAUAUUGCACAAUGGGCGCAAGCCUGAUGCAGCGACGCCGCGUGGGGGAUGACGGCCUUCGGGUUGUAAACUCCUUUCGCUAGGGACGAAGCUUUUUGUGACGGUACCUAGAUAAGAAGCACCGGCUAACUACGUG